rnacentral:misc_RNA from 1 species
AAGUCGUAACAAGGUCUCCGUUGGUGAACCAGCGGAGGGAUCAUUAUUAGAGCCUAAAAACUCACCUAAACCAUUGUGAACUUACCUAUUCGUUGCUUCGGUGGGGUGGCCCCUCCGGGGGUCCUCUGGGCCGCAAGGCGCCCGCCGGAGGUUAUUUUUAAAACACUCUGUCUUCUAUUGUACCUCUGAACAAAAAAAAUAAAAAAACAAUCAAAACUUUCAACAACGGAUCUCUUGGCUCUA